GGGUUGUGAGGUUAAGCGACUAAGCGUACACGGUGGAUGCCCUGGCAGUCAGAGGCGAUGAAGGACGUGCUAAUCUGCGAUAAGCGUCGGUAAGGUGAUAUGAACCGUUAUAACCGGCGAUUUCCGAAUGGGGAAACCCAGUGUGAUUCGUCACACUAUCAUUAACUGAAUCCAUAGGUUAAUGAGGCGAACCGGGGGAACUGAAACAUCUAAGUACCCCGAGGAAAAGAAAUCAACCGAGAUUCCCCCAGUAGCGGCGAGCGAACGGGGAGCAGCCCAGAGCCUGAAUCAGUGUGUGUGUUAGUGGAAGCGUCUGGAAAGGCGUGCGAUACAGGGUGACAGCCCCGUACACAAAAAUGCACAUAUUGUGAGCUCGAUGAGUAGGACGGGACACGUGGUAUCCUGUCUGAAUAUGGGGGGACCAUCCUCCAAGGCUAAAUACUCCUGACUGACCGAUAGUGAACCAGUACCGUGAGGGAAAGGCGAAAAGAACCCCGGCGAGGGGAGUGAAAAAGAACCUGAAACCGUGUACGUACAAGCAGUGGGAGCACGCUUAGGCGUGUGACUGCGUACCUUUUGUAUAAUGGGUCAGCGACUUAUAUUCUGUAGCAAGGUUAACCGAAUAGGGGAGCCGAAGGGAAACCGAGUCUUAACUGGGCGUUAAGUUGCAGGGUAUAGACCCGAAACCCGGUGAUCUAGCCAUGGGCAGGUUGAAGGUUGGGUAACACUAACUGGAGGACCGAACCGACUAAUGUUGAAAAAUUAGCGGAUGACUUGUGGCUGGGGGUGAAAGGCCAAUCAAACCGGGAGAUAGCUGGUUCUCCCCGAAAGCUAUUUAGGUAGCGCCUCGUGAAUUCAUCUCCGGGGGUAGAGCACUGUUUCGGCAAGGGGGUCAUCCCGACUUACCAACCCGAUGCAAACUGCGAAUACCGGAGAAUGUUAUCACGGGAGACACACGGCGGGUGCUAACGUCCGUCGUGAAGAGGGAAACAACCCAGACCGCCAGCUAAGGUCCCAAAGUCAUGGUUAAGUGGGAAACGAUGUGGGAAGGCCCAGACAGCCAGGAUGUUGGCUUAGAAGCAGCCAUCAUUUAAAGAAAGCGUAAUAGCUCACUGGUCGAGUCGGCCUGCGCGGAAGAUGUAACGGGGCUAAACCAUGCACCGAAGCUGCGGCAGCGACACUAUGUGUUGUUGGGUAGGGGAGCGUUCUGUAAGCCUGUGAAGGUGUACUGUGAGGUAUGCUGGAGGUAUCAGAAGUGCGAAUGCUGACAUAAGUAACGAUAAAGCGGGUGAAAAGCCCGCUCGCCGGAAGACCAAGGGUUCCUGUCCAACGUUAAUCGGGGCAGGGUGAGUCGACUCCUAAGGCGAGGCCGAAAGGCGUAGUCGAUGGGAAACAGGUUAAUAUUCCUGUACUUGGUGUUACUGCGAAGGGGGGACGGAGAAGGCUAUGUUGGCCGGGCGACGGUUGUCCCGGUUUAAGCGUGUAGGCUGGUUUUCCAGGCAAAUCCGGAAAACUAAGGCUGAGGCGUGA
rnacentral:rRNA from 1 species